rnacentral:rRNA from 1 species
AUGGCAAACGCGCCAGUGAGCCCCAAGGGCGGUGGCCCCUACAACAUGAAGAAGACCAUCCGGACAAAGGGAAGUGAUGGAGACUUGCCUGAAUGUUUCUUUCCUCCGCGUGAAGUGCUUAGAGUUCUCAAAGGCAUCAACAAGACCCGGAGGAAAUUGACAAUAUGCAGAUUGAAAAGGUUUGGUUGCAUCAAUGAAUUGAUUCAAGACAAGAUAGCAAUGGGAACCAUUGUCCUAUAUUCAACAGGAUCGUCAAUGUUCUCUGUGCCACAAAGCCCGAUAGGUGUGAUGGAUGUUGAUGCAUGUCUCAGCCAACAGAGUGAUGUACUACUGUUGGACCUCCAGCAACAUGCUACCACAGCUCUUCGACAAGCAAAAGGCAGAGAAUUGGCAGAUGAUCGAUCUCACAUCAUGAUGUGCUUCAGAAGAUGA